UGGAGCUGCUAAGGUGUGUGUGCGUGACUGGUUCUCCCCGUGUAUGUCGGCUGCCUGAGUGGCUUGUGUUCCUGAUUGCUCAACUGAGAUCGUCAAGCCAUCUACGGUCAAUGGCUGGGAUUGCGGUUGUUGUGGAUGCUGGACCUACUAAUGAAGCCAUUCGUGUUUUCCUGCAGCAUUGUUACGUUUCCACCUGGUUCACCAGAUGAUAAGCGCCGAUCUAGACACCUGAUGACUGCACCAUUUUGGAGCUGCAGCGCUCGGACGCUCUGCCGUCUGUGUGGAUGGGCUGCUUGAAUGGAUCUGGAGUAGAAGGGGGGCAGUUGGGUGGGCAGCACGGCUUUUUUUUUUUUUUUACCAGAAAAGAGGAAUUGUAAAUAAAAGAUUGCCCAUAA